CAUAGUGAUCCGGUGGUUCUGAAUGGAAGGGCCAUCGCUCAACGGAUAAAAGGUACUCCGGGGAUAACAGGCUGAUACCGCCCAAGAGUUCAUAUCGACGGCGGUGUUUGGCACCUCGAUGUCGGCUCAUCACAUCCUGGGGCUGAAGUAGGUCCCAAGGGUAUGGCUGUUCGCCAUUUAAAGUGGUACGCGAGCUGGGUUUAGAACGUCGUGAGACAGUUCGGUCCCUAUCUGCCGUGGGCGCUGGAGAACUGAGGGGGGCUGCUCCUAGUACGAGAGGACCGGAGUGGACGCAUCACUGGUGUUCGGGUUGUCAUGCCAAUGGCACUGCCCGGUAGCUAAAUGCGGAAGAGAUAAGUGCUGAAAGCAUCUAAGCACGAAACUUGCCCCGAGAUGAGUUCUCCCUGACUCCUUGAGAGUCCUGAAGGAACGUUGAAG
rnacentral:rRNA from 1 species